GUCCACGCGGUAAACGAUGAACACUAGGUGUGGGGAGUGUUAAAACUGUCCGUGCCGAAGCAAACGCGUUAAGUGUUCCGCCUGGGGAGUACGGCCGCAAGGCUAAAACUCAAAGGAAUUGACGGGGGCCCGCACAAGCAGCGGAGCGUGUGGUUUAAUUCGAUGCGACGCGAAGAACCUUACCUGGGUUUGACAUGCACGUAGUAGUGAAGCGAAAGCGGAACGACCCUUCGGGGAGCGUGCACAGGUGUUGCAUGGCUGUCGU
rnacentral:rRNA from 1 species